CGUUUCCUUGCUGGAGAGAGGUGGCCCGCCGAGCGCGGCCACCCACCGAAGGAGCAAGCCGCGCGGCCAGCCAGGGCGCCGUGGUGAAUCUCUCAGGUAAAGCGGACAGCAGGGCAAAU
rnacentral:ncRNA from 2 species